rnacentral:rRNA from 1 species
CCUACGGGUGGCAGCAGUGAGGAAUAUUGGUCAAUGGGCGCGAGCCUGAACCAGCCAAGUAGCGUGAAGGAUGACUGCCCUACGGGUUGUAAACCUCUUUUAUAAAGGAAUAAAGUGAGGCACGUGUGCCUUUUUGUGAGUACUUGAUGAAUAAGGAUCGGCUAACUCCGUGCCAGCAGCCGCGGGAAUACGGAGGAUACGGGCGUUAUCCGGAUUUAUUGGGUUUAAAAGGGGCGUAGAUGGGUUGUUCAGUCAGUGGUGAAAGUUUGGGGCUCAAACGGCAAAUUGCAGUUGAUACUGGCAGUCUUGAGUACAGGAGAGGUAGGCGGAAUGCGUGGUGUAGCGGUGAAAUGCUUAGAUAUCACGAAGAACUCCGAUUGCGAAGGCAGCAUACUGGACUGCAACUGACAUUGAUGCACGAAAGUGUGGGUAUCGAACAGGAUUAGAUACCCGAGUAGUC